rnacentral:rRNA from 1 species
CAGUCGCCACGGUAAUACGUAGGUGGCAAGCGUUGUCCGGAAUUAUUGGGCGUAAAGGGCUCGCAGGCGGUUUCUUAAGUCUGAUGUGAAAGCCCCCGGCUCAACCGGGGAGGGUCAUUGGAAACUGGGAAACUUGAGUGCAGAAGAGGAGAGUGGAAUUCCGCGUGUAGCGGUGAAAUGCGUAGAGAUGUGGAGGAACACCAGUGGCGAAGGCGACUCUCUGGUCUGUAACUGACGCUGAGGAGCGAAAGCGUGGGGAGCGAACAGGAUUAGAUACCCCGGUAGUCCCUGUCUCUUAUAC